rnacentral:rRNA from 1 species
GACGAACGCUGGCGGCGUGCUUAACACAUGCAAGUCGAACGGAAAGGCCCUGCUUUUGUGGGGUGCUCGAGUGGCGACCGGGUGAGUAACACGUGAGUAACCUGCCCUUGACUUUGGGAUAACUUCAGGAAACUGGGGCUAAUACCGGAUAGGAGCUCCUGCUGCAUGGUGGGGGUUGGAAAGUUUCGGCGGUUGGGGAUGGACUCGCGGCUUAUCAGCUUGUUGGUGGGGUAGUGGCUUACCAAGGCUUUGACGGGUAGCCGGCCUGAGAGGGUAACCGGCCACAUUGGGACUGAGAUACGGCCCAGACUCCUACGGGAGGCAGCAGUGGGGAAUAUUGCACAAUGGGCGGAAGCCUGAUGCAGCAACGCCGCGUGCGGGAUGACGGCCUUCGGGUUGGAAACCGCUUUCGCCUGUGACGAAGCGUGAGUGACGGUAAUGGGUAAAGAAGCACCGGCUAACUACGUG